AGUCACUGACAUUAGAUACCCCUGUAGUCCAGGGUGUAAACGCUGCAGACUUGGUGUUGGAAGUCCUUUGGGGGCAUUCAGUGCCGGAGAGAAGUUGUUAAGUCUGCUACUUGGGGAGUACGUCCGCAAGGAUGAAACUUAAAGGAAUUGGCGGGGGAGCACCGCAACGGGAGGAGCGUGCGGUUUAAUUGGAUUCAACACCGUAAGACUCACCAGGGAAGACUGUUACAUGAAAGCCGAGAUGAAGACUCUGCUAGAUUUUCAG
rnacentral:rRNA from 1 species